rnacentral:lncRNA from 1 species
AUAUUUGACAAUCUUUCGAAAUUAAUUCAUCCAAAUAUUGUUACUUUUCAUAAAUAUUGGGUUGAUGUUAAAGAAGAGUACGCUAGGCUCAUAUUUAUUUCUGAGUAUAUGACUUCUGGGUCAUUGCAACAGUUUCUCAAGAAAACAAAAGCUAAUGUGAAGUAUUUUAACAUCAAGGCUUGGAAACGAUGGUGUCAGCAAAUUCUCUCUGCUUUAAG